AAGCAAUCCCAGUGCUCUAGUCACUUCACGCAUUUACCGCAUCUACACGCGCAGCUCAUCUUCUUGAACAAUCCAUCUCCCCACCCACCCACCAACCAGAGUCCUAGGAAGAACAAGAAGGCGAUCGAGAACGCCAUGGCCGCGCACGGGAGCUCACCCACCCUCCAGUUAGCGGUCAACAUUUAUGUUUUUGCCUAUCAGCGAUUUGUUCAGCAAGAAGCCGCCGCCGAAAAAGUUCAUGGUGUUUGUCGGAAUGGAUACUCAUUUUGCCGUGGAGGGAUCAACAAGAGUUAUGAAUCAAGAUACAAUGAGCGAGGUUUCCCCGGAUGAGUUAGAUAGCCAUGGCGAUUGUUCUGGUGGAUCCAGUGGUGUGGAAGGGACACCAUCAAUUACGUCUAGGCUCUCGUUGUUGAAGUUAGGCUCUGUUAUAGUUGAAUUCUGGAUCGUUUUCCUUCAUCUCCGCAAGUAUGUCCAUUGUUUUCCGGGCAUCUGAAUCAGACUGCUCCUUGUUCAACUUGCAACACAGCGUCUUCAGUGAUCGUUUUGUAAAUGGCACAUUAUCAACUGAUCCAAAAAAUCUACCAACUAUGCU